AUUGAACGCUGGCGGCAGGCCUAACACAUGCAAGUCGAACGAGUGGCGGACGGGGGCGUAAGAACAGGGAAACUGCCUGAUGGAGGGGGAUAACUACAGGACACAGUCGCUAACACCGCAUACUAUCGGGUGUGCCCAGAUGGGAUUCGCUCGUAGGUGGGGUACAGGCGCCCCUAGGCGACGCUCCCUAGCUGGUCUGAGAGGAUGACCAGCCACACUGGAACGAAGACACGGUCCAGACUCCUACGGGAGGCAGCAGUGGGGAAUAUUGCACCAUGGGCGCAAGCCUGAUGCAGCCAUGCCGCGUGUAUGAAGAAGGCCUUCGGUUUGUAAAGUACUUUCAGCGGGGAGGCGUUACCCGCCGAAGAAGCACCGGCUAACUCCGUGCCAGCAGCCGCGGUAAUAC
rnacentral:rRNA from 1 species